UACGAAGGGUGCAAGCGUUAAUCGGAAUUACUGGGCGUAAAGCGUGCGUAGGCGGUUUGUUAAGUCUGUUGUGAAAUCCCCGGGCUCAACCUGGGAAUGGCAAUGGAUACUGGCAAGCUAGAGUGUGUCAGAGGAUGGUGGAAUUCCCGGUGUAGCGGUGAAAUGCGUAGAGAUCGGAAAGAACACCAACGGCGAAAGCACUCUGCUGGGCCGACACUGACACUGAGAGACGAAAGCUAGGGGAGCGAAUGGG
rnacentral:rRNA from 1 species